rnacentral:rRNA from 1 species
UGACAGUACUCCUACGGGGAGGCAGCAGUGGGGGAAUAUUGCACAAUGGGCGCAAGCCUGAUGCAGCCAUGCCGCGUGUGUGAAGAAGGCCUUCGGGUUGUAAAGCACUUUCAGUCGUGAGGAAGGUAGUGUAGUUAAUAGCUGCAUUAUUUGACGUUAGCGACAGAAGAAGCACCGGCUAACUCCGUGCCAGCAGCCGCGGUAAUACGGAGGGUGCGAGCGUUAAUCGGAAUUACUGGGCGUAAAGCGCAUGCAGGUGGUUUGUUAAGUCAGAUGUGAAAGCCCGGGGCUCAACCUCGGAAUAGCAUUUGAAACUAGGCAGACUAGAGUACUGUAGAGGGGGGUAGGAAUUUCAGGUGUAGCGGUGAAAUGCGUAGAGAUCUGAAGGAAUACCGGUGGCGAAGGCGGCCCCCUGGACAGAUACUGACACUCAGAUGCGAAAGCGUGGGGAGCAAACAGGAUUAGAUACCCUGGUAG